rnacentral:rRNA from 1 species
AGAACGAACGCUGGCGGCAUGCCUAAUACAUGCAAGUCGAACGAAUGCCCUUCGGGUGUUAGUGGCGCACGGGUGCGUAACGCGUGGGAAUCUGCCCUUGGGUUCGGAAUAACCAGUUAGAAACUGACUGCUAAUACCGGAUGAUGGACGUAAGUCCAAAGAUUUAUCGCCCUAGGGAUGAGCCCGCGUAGGAUUAGCUAGUUGGUGGGUAAAGGCCUACCAAGGCGACGAUCCUUAGCUGGUCUGAGAGGAUGAUCAGCCACACUGGGACUGAGACACGGCCCAGACU